rnacentral:rRNA from 1 species
UACGUAGGGUGCGAGCGUUAAUCGGAAUUACUGGGCGUAAAGAGUGCGCAGGCGGCCGAGCAAGUCGAGUGUGAAAGCCGCGAGCUUAACUUGGGAACUGCGCCCGAAACUACUUGGCUAGAGUGUGGCAGAGGGAGGUGGAAUUCCACGUGUAGCGGUGAAAUGCGUAGAGAUGUGGAGGAACCCCGAUGGCGAAGUCAGCCUCCUGGGCCAACACUGACGCUCAUGCACGAAAUCCUGGGGAGCAAACAGG